AUUGAACGCUGGCGGCAGGCCUAACACAUGCAAGUCGAACGAGUGGCGGACGGGUGAGUAAUGUCUGGGAAACUGCCUGAUGGAGGGGGAUAACUACUGGAAACUGUAGCUAAUACCGCAUACCAUCAGAUGUGCCCAGAUGGGAUUAGCUUGUUGGUGGGGUAACGGCUCCACAAGGCGACGCUCCCUAGCUGGUCUGAGAGGAUGACCAGCCAUACUGGAACUGAGACACGGUCCAGACUCCUACGGGAGGCAGCAGUGGGGAAUAUUGCACAAUGGGCGGAAGCCUGAUGGAGCCAGGGCGCGUGUAUGAAGAAGGCCUUCUGGUUGGAAAGGACUUUCAGCGGGGAGGCGUUACCCGCAGAAGAAGCACCGGCCAACUCCGUGCCAGCAGCCGCGGUAAUUC
rnacentral:rRNA from 1 species